AUACGGAGGAUCCGAGCGUUAUCCGGAUUUAUUGGGUUUAAAGGGUGCGCAGGCGGCCAUUUAAGUCAGCGGUUAAAUCGUGGGGCUCAACCCCAUUCUGCCGUUGAUACUGGGUGGCUUGAUUGCGGUCGAGGUUGGCGGAAUUCGUUGUGUAGCGGUGAAAUGCAUAGAUAAGACAAAGAACACCGAUUGCGUAGGCAGCUGACCAUACCGCAAAAGACGCUCAUGCCCGAAAGUGCGGGGAUCGAACAGGAUUAGAUACCCUGGUCGUCCGCACAGUAAACGAUGAAUACUUGUUUUCGGCGAUAUAAUGUCGGAGGCAAAGCGAAAGCGAUAAGUAAUCCACCUGGGGAGUACGCCGGCACCGGUGAAACUCAAAUGAAUUGGCGGGG
rnacentral:rRNA from 1 species